rnacentral:rRNA from 1 species
GACGAACGCUGGCGGCGUGCUUAACACAUGCAAGUCGAACGAAGUGGCGAACGGGUGAGUAACGCGUAAUCAACCUGCCCCUCAGAGGGGGACAACAGUUGGAAACGACAGCUAAUACCGCAUACGGAAGGAGGGGAUUGCGUCGGAUUGGCUAGUUGGAAGGGUAAUGGCCCACCAAGGAGAGGAUCAUUAGCCGGUCGGGGAGGGUGAACGGCCACAUUGGGACUGAGACACGGCCCAGACUCCUACGGGAGGCAGCAGUGGGGAAUCUUCCGCAAUGGGCGAAAGUCUGACGAAGCAACGCCGCGUGAGUGAUGACGGCCUUCGGGUUGUAAAGCUCUGUUGAUCGGGACGCGGUACCGAAAUAGAAAGCCACGGCUAACUACGUGCCAGCAGCCGCGGUAAUAC